AGCGAACGCUGGCGGCAGGCUUAGCACAUGCAAGUCGAACGGGCACUUCGGUGCUAGUGGCAGACGGGUGAGUAACGCGUGGGAACGUACCCUUCGGUUCGGAAUAAUUCAGGGAAACUUGGACUAAUACCGGAUACGCCCUUCGGGGGAAAGAUUUAUCGCCGAUAGAUCGGCCCGCGUCUGAUUAGCUAGUUGGUGAGGUAAUGGCUCACCAAGGCGACGAUCAGUAGCUGGUCUGAGAGGAUGAUCAGCCACAUUGGGACUGAGACACGGCCCAAACUCCUACGGGAGGCAGCAGUGGGGAAUAUUGGACAAUGGGCGCAAGCCUGAUCCAGCCAUGCCGCGUGAGUGAUGAAGGCCUUAGGGUUGUAAAGCUCUUUUGUCCGGGAAGAUAAUGACUGUACCGGAAGAAUAAGCCCCGGCUAACUUCGUGCCAGCCGCCGCCGUAACAC
rnacentral:rRNA from 1 species